UUUCUUGAUGUACCUCAUGUUUCUAUUUAUUGUUUUUCUUUUUGGAGUUUUUGAUUUACAGAUAAAUUCUACGUUUAAAUUCUCUUUUUAUGAUUCUGCAGAUUUUGUCUCUGUAAUCAGAUGGUUGAUAUCACUAUCUGAUAUCGUUCUUCUUCACUUUCAAGAAGUACCGGCAUUUAUUGAAGGUAUAUAAUUCGUUUAGACAUUUAGUUUUCAAUGUAUCAAGUAUUUUGUGUUGUUAGUUUUUUGCUACUUUU
rnacentral:lncRNA from 1 species